UCUAUUGGUGGGAUAAAGAAGAGA
rnacentral:miRNA from 1 species